GUUGAAUCUUCCCACACCAUGCAGCAAAGCCUCCCAAUCACCGGCCUGCAGAAAGCUCUGUGUCCACCGGCUCCUCGGGCAGCAGCUUUGGCAGUGGGUAUAGCGUGGACAGUGAAGGAAGCAGCAGCACUGCAGGGGAGACUAAUCUAUUUCCUAUUCCGAGGAUAGGGAAGAUGGGACAGAAUGGACAAGAGCCUGUAAAACAGCCAGGGGUAGGAGUAGGACUAGCAGACACUGAAGCUAAAACUCAGGUAAUGGGAGAAAUCAAGAUUGCACUGAAGAAGGAAAUGAAGACAGAUGGUGAACAACUAAUAGUUGAAAUUCUCCAAUGCAGAAAUAUUACAUACAAAUUUAAGUCUCCUGAUCAUCUACCAGAUUUAUAUGUGAAAAUAUAUGUGAUGAAUAUUUCUACCCAAAAAAAGGUGAUCAAGAAAAAAACAAGAGUAUGCAGACAUGAUCGAGAGCCUUCAUUCAAUGAAACUUUUCGAUUCAGUCUAAGUCCUGCAGGACAUUCUCUUCAGAUUUUACUUUUCUCCAAUGGAGGGAAGUUUAUGAAAAAGACCUUGAUUGGUGAAGCCUGUAUCUGGCUUGACAAAGUGGAUCUCAGAAAAAGAAUAGUCAACUGGCACAAACUUUUGGUCAGUCCUACUCAAACGCAUUGAAGAAACAUGUCUUCUCAGGGUAUAGAAACUGCUCUAAAUAGCCUCACAUCAAGACUAUAGUUGAAUACUAUUGUACAAAGCUAAGUUUUGAGAGGCAAACAUAAGAGUGGGAACAACAGGCAAAAACAUACUUAAGACCUUGUACAUUUAUUGUUGUGGAUCACACAAAGAUAUUCAACUGAAAAAGUUCACAUACUGAAAACAAGAAGAAUGGAGUUCUGAGACCUUGAAUUUCCCAUGGCUGUGAAGAGAAACUGUGAAACAAAUUUCGAUUACUUAAGACAAUAAUCUUUGAGUAGAGUUGAGCUAUAGCUUAAGACAGAGGCUCAAAGAUUAAUGUGGUUUUCAUGCAGCACAAAGGUAAUUCUUUAUGCAAAGAAGCCUUGGUUGAAAGGAAAGAACUGAUGUAACAAAUCUCAGUUUUCAAAACUUCAAAAAUCUUCCUUCAUCGUCUUCUAUUCAGACAACUUGCUGCUUUCAGAUUCUGACAUAAGAUUUACCUACAGUAUGUGUCCAGGGCUGGAAGUGAGGUGGCUGUGUUCUUAGGGAAAAUGGAAGAGGAGAUGUAGAAAUUGUGGCCUUCAGGCCAUAUUUUACCAGUUUUCUCUGUGUCUAAAUGUUACAAGCAUAUACAACACUGACUUUGGAAUCCAUGUGGUAAAAGCACAUUUGUUUCUGUAUCAUUUGAAACAAUGUAGAGUGAAGAUAAUACUAGGUAGAAAUAAAAUUGAAUUUAUCUAGAAAUAAAACUAUGACUGGCUAACAAAGAAGAAUGUUGCCCCAUAAAAUAUUGGAAUUUUGGUUGAAACCAUCAAAAUCUUCAUAAUUUACCAUUAAGCCAAGACAUCUUCAGUCUAUGUACCAAAGGACCUAGAGUAAACUGAUAUGUUCUAGGAAGCAUGAUAACUUACUCUUUGUGAAACUGCAAAUAAAUGUAUUAUCCUGCACAUUGCCUUUCUCUUGAGCGAUGCAUUGACAGAGAAAGAAAAUUCUUUCUCUGGCAAACAAACCAUGUUAAUCUUGUGACAUUGAUUAAUUAAAUGGAUCCUCAUUUCAUAAUAUUUUAUGCUUUUUUCCUUAAUGACUUAAUUCAUUUACUGAUUGUAUCAUGAAAACAUGACACUAAACUCGAGUUCUCUCUAGUGCUCUAUUUUCUUACUUUAGUGACAGUAUCACAGUGAUCAAGUUCAUCAAUGUUGGGAAAAUAUGUGAAAAGUUAACAUUUACCUGAGAUUAAAAUAUACUUUGAGCUAUUUUAAUAAUAAUGAAUAAAACAACUAAUGUCCAAGUCUUAAAAUGAAGCACCCUCUUCUCUAUCAGCAUUAUUAAUUAAGGAAGUAACGUGAAGUUGUGGAAAACACACUCAGCAGGGAAUAAAAGCCUGUCUUCUGGUCUUAGUUCUAUCACUGACUGUGUCACCUGGCACAUGUCACUUACACUCACUUUACCCCAGUUUUCUUAUCUAUAGGAUAAAAAUAAUUAUAUAUUCUUAAUCUUCUUAAUGAGAUGUUGUGAUGGUAAAUCAAUGAUCCAUGAAAGAUGAAAGCACAUUUCCAAAUAUAGUUUUAUACACGGAAGUGAGGAAUAAUUAUUACAUAUCUUUUUAAUUCUCAAAUUUUAUAUGUGAAAAACAUCAUCUAAACCAAUGGCAAGGAUUGACAUGGAUAAAAGCAGUAAGCCACAAAACUUAUUUUUUAUUUAAAAUAUAAACUUUAACCUGACUAAAGGUGAAGAAUUACAUGAAAAUGCAAAUUUUGUUAUCCUAAAUUAAAUUAAUAAUGCUGGUCUUACCCUAUUCCUAUAUUCUACCCAAAAGAAAUAAAUCAAAUUGCUUCUCAGAGCAUUCUGAGCUUAAAACCUGCUGCUUUAUUUAAGGGUGAAGUGUUAGUGGAAUUAGAGAAAACCAACUCUAGAUAUUGGUUGGAUAUUGAAUUUUCUUAUUUUUAAAGAAAAAAUGCUCUAAAUUUGAGAGGACUGUAAAGCACUAAAAAUAAGAGAAUUUCUAAUAUAUCCCAGGAGAUAUAUAUAUAUGACUUCAGAAUACAAAUUCGAUCUUCCCCAAACUGAGAAAGAUAACCAUAACUUUUCUUCCAUUUUUUAAUCCCCCUCCACUGAUAAUACAAUGUCAUUUACCAUUGACAUUGCUCUAAAAUGAGCAUGGGAGAGUGGAAUCAUCAAAGACAUUAUAUUGCUAGUAUUUUAUUUUUAGAAACUAUUAGAUCUGCUGAUGGUUGCCAUGGAUAGUUCCAGCAGAAGCUAGCACUUGAAGAAGCCUAUAAUCAUCACUCAUAAUUGGGGAAGAAAAGGUCCAAGGAGAUCUCCGUCUGACAUAAAAAGGCUCUGGUAUUUGCCCUUAAAAGAAAACCCUGACUCAUCUCUGAUCCUCUUUUGCAGCCACUCAUAUCCAUAGGUAUGCAUGAGAGUUUGUAUGACCAGUUAGCUUUCUUCAUUCCAGUUGCAAUUUCUUUUAGAAUAAUAUAAAUGGAGGGAUCACCAAAACAAAGAUUAUCUCUUUGGUAGCUAUUUAACCUGAAAGCGUAGGAGUCUUUCCAUUAUAGAAGCCCCUCUGUUCCAAGGAACUAGCGAUGGGGCUAGGUCAAUCAGCAGAGUUGACAACAGGGCUUCUUUUUGUGCACCAGCAUUCCCCUUCAGAGAGCAUAAGAUCCUGCCAGUGUGCCAAGUUUGCAGCUGACCAAACUUCUAGGUUGUACUGGAAUUAUUCUAUGCAACACUGAUCCUUAUAUGAAUGCAUUUCUUCUGAAUGAUGUUGACUACCCUUCUUACAACAAAACUGUUUCUUUUUUAUUGCAAAUAGGGCUCUUGGUGUUUUUUACUUUUUUGUACAUAUCACAGUACAUGGUUUUUCACUCUUUAGUUUAUUUCAUUUUAUUGGAAUUAACUUUUUUUUAUUCUAAUACUGACAGAGUUUGUAAUCUCUAUAUAAUACGUAAUUACUCCAAUUACAGCACUUUUACCUUGAAGAGCAUCUCAAUUUUUCCCACAAUUUCAUUGAGUCAUCAGAGACUGAUGUUGCUUCUUGGUUUCAAAUUUGGUCCUAAAGAAACUUUCGGCUGUAGAAACAAAAGCACAGAGUGAAUUUUUUACAAAAGACAGGGAAUAUAGAAUAGUCAUUACAGACACAAAUAACCCUAGUAGCAAGAAGUUGGUGUUUUCCCUGUUUUUACUUAAGAUUAAGAAGAUUUUUGGUGACUCUGAACUCUUUAUUUAUAUUUCAGUUUAAAAUAUCAAGACUAAGGGGCAUCAGUUAUCUUUACUCUUUAAUAUUGCCCAUAUUUUAAUAAAUUACACUAAUUAAACACAUAUUUUCAGCAUACCAGUGGAAUUAAUUUUGUGGAUCACACACAUUUAAAUAGUCAUAUUGUGGGAAUAUUAUAGCUGGUAACCAGCUGAUAUUGAUUCUUAUUAUAGGAAUGACUGUAAUGAUAGUGGUGGUAGCAGUAGUGAUAUUAGCGGUGGUGGUGAUGUGAAGUAAAAUAAAAGUAUAUAUUAUAUCGUGCCCAAUUUAUUAGAAAUUAUUUGAUCAAUGCUUCAUUUCAUUAAAAUAUCAUAAAGAUGUUUAUAGUAUUUUUUUACUUUAUUAUUUAAAUCAUAACUAACAAUAUUUUUAAAAACUUAUUUUCAUUGCUACAAUGUCAAAUAUUCCAAAAUCAGCCAACUACAGCUAUAUAUGUGUUAUGUGUGACAGAAGUGAUCUUCCUUCCCUCUUUUUGAGCUUGGAAUGAAAGUGAAAGAAGACUCAAUGAAUAAUUAUGAGCUAUUUAUUUAAUAAUUACUUGCCUUGGGUGUAAUACAGUAAUGAAUGAGUGAAACAAAUAUUCUCAUUGAAUAUGAUACAAUGCUGUUUUCUGUAUGUUUCAUGUUCUAUUAUUAAAGGUAUCCGUUAGGCCAAAAUUAUUUAAUCAAAUUCUUUAUCUGAUAGGUAGAUUGAGAGCAUUUUCUUAAUGCAUUACCUUGUACAUAAGUAUACACUUGGUAAAGUAGACGAAGUUGAAAUAUUAAUUUCAUUUGGCAUUCAGCAUGUGAAUAUGAUUAUUGUUUGAUUGUGUCUGUAUAUUUGUUUGGUGACGUGCUCAGGUGCUCCCACUACUGAUUAAUGUGUGUGCUAAUAUCCUAAAAACACAUAUGAGGUUUAAGAAAAAAUUUUCUUGUCUGAAAACAUAAACAUCUUAAUAAAACUGAUUUUGAAAUAAAAACUAAAGUACUUGAAGAUAUGUCUUGUUUCUAACUAUAUGUUGCAUGCCAUGUUGGUGAUUUGCUAAUGUGUUUUUUUGUUUGUUUUACCCAAAUCCCUUUGGAAAAUCUAAUGGACAAACGCAAAUUCUUGGACUAAGGACUGUAUAAAUUGACCUGAAAAUACAUGAGAGUUGCAUUUAAAAAAAAAAAAUGCUUGUAAAUCCGUCUUGAGUUUUACUCUAUGUAAAAAUAUGUCUUGGUUUUGUGACUGUAUACAAGAUGUAUCUUGAUAACUUAUGUAAACUGUGCCGUAUAAAGGCUGUUGCCUCAGCCUUACUAAUAAAUAUUGAAA
rnacentral:lncRNA from 1 species